AGUGAACGCUGGCGGCAGGCCUAACACAUGCAAGUCGAACGGCAGCACAAGAGAGCUUUCUUUCUGGGUGUCGAGUGGCGGACGGGUGAGGAAUGCAUCGGAAUCUGCCCAUUUGUGGGGGAUAACCUCGGGAAACCGGGACUAAUACCGCAUACGACCUACGUGUGUAAGCAGGUGAUCUUCGGAACUUGCGCAGAUGGAUGAGCCGAUGCCGGAUUAGCUAGUUGGAGGGGUAAAGGCCCACCAAGGCGACGAUCCGUAGCUGGUCUGAGCGGAUGAUCAGCCACACUGGGACUGAGACACGGCACAGACUCCUACGGGAGGCAGCAGUGGGGAAUAUUGGACAAUGGGCGCAAGCCUGAUCCAGCCAUGCCGCGUGUGUGAAGAAGGCCUUCGGGUUGUAAAGCACUUUUGUUGGGAAAGAAAAGCAGCGGGUUAAUACCCGGUUGUCAUGACGGUACCCAAAGAAUAAGCACCGGCUAACUUCGUG
rnacentral:rRNA from 1 species